AGAGUUUGAUUAUGGCUCAGAACAAACGCUGGCGGCGUGUCUUAAGCAUGCAAGUCGAGCGGCAGGCGCAGCAAUGCGCUGAGAGCGGCGGACUGGUGAGUAACGCGUGGGUAAUCUACCUUUGGCAUGGGGAUAGCCACUAGAAAUAGUGGGUAAUACCGAAUACGUUCCCUGGGGGGAGGUUUCAGGGAAGAAAGGGUGCUACGGCACCGGCCGGAGAUGAGCUCGCGUCCCAUUAGCUUGUUGGUGAGGUAACGGCCCACCAAGGCGAUGAUGGGUAGCCGGCCUGAGAGGGUGUACGGCCACACUGGGACUGAGAUACGGCCCAGACUCCUACGGGAGGCAGCAGCUAAGAAUAUUCCGCAAUGGACGAAAGUCUGACGGAGCGACGCCGCGUGGAUGAUGAAGGCCGAAAGGUUGUAAAGUCCUUUUGCUGGGGAAGAAUAAGUGUGGGAGGGAAUGCCCGCAUGAUGACAUGAACCGGCGAAUAAGCCCCGGCCAACUACGUGCCAGCAGCCGCGGUAACACGUAGGGGGCGAGCGUUGUUCGGAAUUACUGGGCGUAAAGGGCAUGUAGGCGGUCUGGUAAGCCUGGCGUGAAAGGCCACAGCUCAACUGUGGGAUUGCGUUGGGAACUGCUGGGCUUGAGUUAUGGAGAGGGAGCUAGAAUUCCUGGUGUAGGGGUGAAAUCUGUAGAUAUCAGGAAGAAUACCGAUGGCGAAGGCAAGCUCCUGGCCGAUGACUGACGCUGAGGUGCGAAAGUGUGGGGGAUCA
rnacentral:rRNA from 1 species